GGAUUAGAUACCCUGGUAGUCCUAGCUGUAAACGAUGUGUGUUAGACGUUGGAAAUUUAUUUUCAGUGUCGCAGCGAAAGCAGUAAACACACCGCCUGGGGAGUACGACCGCAAGGUUAAAACUCAAAUGAAUUGACGGGGACCCGCACAAGUAGUGGAGCAUGUGGUUUAAUUCGAAGAUACGCGCAGAACCUUACCAACACUUGACAUGUUCGUCGCGGCUCUAAGAGAUUAGAGCUUUCGGUUCGGCCGGACGAAACACAGGUGCUGCAUGGCUGUCGUCAGCUCCGUGUUG
rnacentral:rRNA from 1 species